CAAUAAUAUCUGCGGGAUUUCCCAAAGUUUCUAGAGGCCGGUAUAAGACGUGGCACCCACAUGCCGGGGCUACAGACAUCAGGACAUCCAGUCGAGGGCAUCUGAUGACGUCAUGACCAGCUACUGACCACCUGGUCCCGAGACAAUACUUCAAGCAGCUAGAAAUACGUGUGACCCGUGUUCUGAGUGACCCGUGAGACCCACGACCCGUGUUCUGAGUGACCCGUGAGACCCACGACCCCUGAGACCCACGACCCGUGAGACCCACGACCCGUGUAGCCCACGACCCGAGAGAGUGUAGUCAGCAUGUCCCAGCCCAGCUUGUACGGACCAAAACUUCCAGGACAGCAGGAGCUCAACGACCGCCUGGAAAGCUUCAGAGACUGGCCCAGUGGGGAGGUUGUCAGGCCGCACGAUCUGGCUGUGGCUGGAUUCUUUUAUUUAGGUCAGGGCGAUCACGUGAUGUGCUUCCACUGCGGGGGUGGGUUGAGGUCCUGGGUGGCUGGUGACAAGCCCCUAGACGAGCAUAAGAGGGCUUUCCCGACCUGCGCCUUCAUCAGGGCCACGCUCAUCAUGUGACGUCAUCAGGACCACGCUCAUCAUGUGACGUCAUCAGGACCACGCUCAUCAUGUGACGUCAUCAGGACCACGCUCAUCAUGUGACGUCAUCAGGACCACGCUCAUCAUGUGACGUCAUCAGGACCACGCUCAUCAUGUGACGUCAUCAGGGACACGUUCAUCAUGUGACGUCAUCAGGACCACGCUCAUCAUGUGACGUCAUCAGGGACACGUUCAUCAUGUGACGUCAUCAGGACCACGUUCAUCGCGUGACGUCAUCAGGGCCACGCUCAUCAUGUGACGUCAUCAGGACCACGCUCAUCAUGUGACGUCAUCAGGACCACGUUCAUCAUGUGACGUCAUCAGGAUAAGGUUCAACGUGUGACGUCAUCAGGACCACGCUCAUCAUGUGACGUCAUCAGGGACACGUUCAUCGCGUGACGUCAUCAGGACCACGUUCAUCAUGUGACGUCAUCAGGACCACGUUCAUCAUGUGACGUCAUCAGGACCACGUUCAUCAUGUGACGUCAUCAGGGACACGUUCAUCAUGUGACGUCAUCAGGGGGGACACGUUCAUCAUGUGACGUCAUCAGGGACACGUUCAUCGCGUGACGUCAUCAGGGACACAUUCAUCGCGUGACGUCAUCAGACACAAAUUAAAAAUUGACGUCAUUAGAGACGUGGCCAUUAUUUGACGUCAUACAGCUUUGUUAUUCAGCAUUUCUUUCUGACUUGAGAUUUUAAACAUGAUUUAUUUUGUCAUAACAAAUUAUUCGGUU